CUUAGUGCAGGGAGCACAGGGUCCAGUUUGCUAUUCUUAGCACUCUUGGAAUGCUGUUUCUCCGCCCUGUUAUUUUGUUUGCUCUCUCUUCUCUUUGGUCAUGUUAGGAAACUUGUGUUUGGCUUGGCUGCUCUUUGCCAGGAUAACAACCAGCCCCCGAGGCCUGUGACGUGCUGUUGGACUGUUCUGGAGAAGAAGAGUCAUGAUAAGACUACGACUGCUACUCAGCUUUUCAGUUGCUUCUGAUUCGUGUUUUUGUGGAUGUGGCAGUGAUGACUGAGGAAGAUCCUGCUUAUUUACACAUUGACAGCAAAUCUAGAAUAGAGGGUCUUGUCCUUGACAUCUCAUCAGCAAAUCACUUCUAACAACAGACCCAGAUCCUGGUCUCAAUUUCAAGAACUUGCAAUGUCAGCUGAAGCCAGAAAGCAUGACUGGAGAGCACUCAUCCGCAUUUUCCUCUGGCAUUCUCCACUUCUGCUCUGGUGCUUGUUCAUCCAUCCCACAUGCUGCCAACAUCUCAACAUCAACAUCAGAGCGACUGAAGUAAACCAGCCAGUCAAGAUUGUUGUUGUCCUCAUCUGUCAAAGCUGACUGCCAUAUGGCAGCAGGUGCAUAUUCAACUGUAUACAUAUACAAUUAUCAUCAUCAUCCCGUUCACUUUUCCUUUGUUCCUGUUUGUUUUGCUUCAGUCACGUCAAAACCAGCCAUAUAAGCAUAUAUAAGCACAGCACACAAGGUUAAAAGGUCAGCAGCCUGCCAAUUGAAGUUAUGCAGCAAAGCUAACAAUAGCAUUCAGCAAAGAGCUCUAGUGCUACAAUUGGACUGUAACCAUGGUGAAUCAGUAGACAUUUUAGUUCAGAGAUGUGUUUGUAAAUAUUUGUUCAUACAUGCACUGAGCACAUGUGGUAUAAACUCAUAGCUAAACAUUUUGUUAGGAUUCGGGAGUAUGCCUCUCUUCCCUCUUGUGUCAGUGUGUUUCCCUUCCUUGUGUUUCCUGUUUGUCUCCCCCUGUCUGUGUUUGUUCUCCAGGGCGUGGCCAUCCGGUUGUUCCUUCCUACCCGAGUUUCCCUCCACUCACUCAAGCACUCCUGUCUUCAAUCUGGCUGAUUACCUCACCUGCCUACUGCUGUAUUUAUACCCGGGCUCUUCACUCAGUCUUCGUCAGAUCGUCCAUUUGCCUGCAUGGUAUUCCUGUGCAUGACUCCAAGCCUUUUUGAAACUCUCUCCCUGAACUGGCUAACUUUGUCUCUCCUCCUCACCUAGAUCCCAGUUCCUCACCUUUGCUCGCCUGCCAUGCCUUGGAAGAUCUUUUCCUGAAGUUUUUGACUCACAACCGAGUCCACCUUUUGUUUGAAGCCUGCCUGCCUGCUCUUUUGUCCUGAGUUCUGUUUUGUCCUUAAUAAACCCUUCUUUGUCAUUUCAA